AGGCAAACGAGCGAGAAUAUAAACAAACCUGAUCACUAGUUGUUAUCAUUCCAGGGCCUACGGCAAAAUUAAAGUGGCGUUCACAGGUGGCGAUAUACGAUGCCCUGUCCAGGUCUUUAUAAGGAUUGUGUAGGUAAACAUCGUAUUAACAUAACGCUUGGGUGGUUUUUAACACCAUAGUUACAAUAUGAUAAUAAAACGAUUUUCCAAGAAAUGAAAAAAAAAA